UACGAAGGGGGCUAGCGUUGCUCGGAAUUACUGGGCGUAAAGGGCGCGUAGGCGGCCCGACAAGUCAGGCGUGAAAUUCCCGGGCUCAACCUGGGGGCUGCGCUUGAGACUGUAGGGCUAGAGGCCGAGAGAGGGUGGUGGAAUUCCCAGUGUAGAGGUGAAAUUCGUAGAUAUUGGGAAGAACACCGGUGGCGAAGGCGGCCACCUGGCUCGGUUCUGACGCUGAGGCGCGACAGCGUGGGGAGCAAACAGG
rnacentral:rRNA from 1 species